AGGACGGUUAUGGUAGCAGCGGUGACAGCCAUCCAUGGAGAAAGAUUAAGUACCUGGAGAUAUUGGUUUGGAUUUUAAAAUUGGUGGAUACGACAAAAAUGGGGGCUGCUCGAGAUUGGAUGUAUAAACCUAGGCAGUUACCCGAGUUUGAAGCUGUAGUUGUUGACUUCCUAAAUUCUUUGUUUGCUAAAGAAGAAGGAAGUAGUCAAAUGUGUUGUCCUUGUAAAAAGUGUAUGAACCAUCAUUGAUAUCGAAGAGAUGAAGUAUUUGAUCAUUUAAAAGGACAUGGACUUGUAUAAAACUACUAAGUUUGGGUUUUCCAUGGAGAAAGCCCUUCACAAAGAAGAAUUGGAACCGUCACCGACACCAAUGGAGCUAGUAUGCAUAAUAAUUUUUAUGAAUUAUUGCAUGAUAGGUUUAGAUGUACUGCUGAGAAGACAAGUACUGUACGAGAAGGCUUAAAUAAAGAUGCAAAAAAGUUCUAUAAGUUGGUUGAAGAUGGAAGUCAAGAGUUAUACCUUGGGUGUAAAAGGUUUCCAAAGCUAUCUUUCAUCAUUAGGCAUUGUCUCUACAAGAGGCUUCACAAACUUAAUAACGUGGCAUUUGAUGAUCUCUUGCUACUUUUACAAGAGAUGAUUCCAGAGGCUAAACUUGGAAAACCCUCUGGCUAGUUUUACGCAAGCUAAAAGAGUUAUAAGAGAUUUAGGGCUUGAUUAUAAGAAGAUUCAUGCAUGCCAAAAAUGAUUGUAUGAUAUAUUGGAGAGAGUAUGAACAUGUUAAGGUGGGCCACAUUUGCCACACAACUAAGUGGGAACCACUGAAUGAUAAACAAGGGGGUAAGGGUAAACAUGAUGUACAUUAUUCAAAGGUCCCUGCUAAAGUGGUGUGGCAUUUUCCUUUAAAACCGAGACUACAAAAACUUUUCAUGUGUUCAGAAACAGUUAAAUAUAUGACAUGGCAUGAUAGUGGGCGCCCAAAGGAUGGAUAUAUAUGACAUCCUGUAGAUGGGCAAACCUGGAAGGAAUUUUAUUCUCUGUAUCCUCAUUUUGCUAAAGAAAUGAGAAAUAUGAGGUUUGUCAAGUGAUGGAUUUAAUCUAUUUCGAACAAUGACCGUUGCUCAUAGCACUUGGCAUGUGGUAUUGAUUAACUACGAUUUGCCGCCAUGGGUGUCUUUGAAACCAGAAUACUUUAUGUUGUCUCUGUUAAUUCCUAGACCUAAAUCACUAGGUAAUAUUAAAGAUUACUAAUUUACUAAAGCUACAUCGAGUAAAUACACCAAAUGUCUCCCAAAAGGUUCCAUCGGGUUCAAAUGCAACAAGAGCAACUCACCUACGAGCUAUAGUUACCAUGGGUCAACUAAUAUGGGGUAAUACAAGAGGAGCAAUUAGAAGAAUGGUUCUUGUUGUUGAGGAUAAUUACGAGGAUGAUAAGAUGAUUCAAAGUAUUAUUUUUUGUUAAUCUCAAAGUAUUUUUAAAUAUAUUUUCCUUUUGAUAUUAA